CGUCGAUUUCGUCAUUCUCUCCAAAUCUGGACAAAGCGCCGCCGUUCAGGCCUUCGUGAAAGCACAGAUCCGCGCGUCGCCGCCGCGCAAAGGCCGCGCACUGUCGCCGAUUCAUGCCGUGCGCCGCCGCCGCCGCGACCAGAGCUACGCCUACAGACACCUCGUCCUCUUCGGUUCGAUUUCUUCGAUUCAGGGCAAAGCUCGAUCAGUCAUGGCUCAGCCCCUAUUUUCCUAGGACUUUUCUCGAUUAUUUACAUGCCAGCUUCAACCUCUUAAUUACUCUUUUUCUUUAGAUUUCUUAUAACUGGAUUCGAAUUCUUGGUGCAAGGCUCAGUGGGCCAGAAUGGUUUCCCAUUUAGCUGGUGAAUAGUGUUGGCACAGGAGCUCAAGCUCGACAAGGACCAGCGGCGGAGAGAGAAGAAGCUGAGGCUCCAACUAAGCUCCAAAGUGGCGGCAAACCAGGGUCAACUGACUGCCACAGCAAACCAAGCCGGCUUCUCCGACGAGGGCAGUGGCAAGCUGUCGAAGAAAUAAAAAACAGAGGCUAAGACAUCUAUCUCUCUUUGAAUCAGUUAGGGAUAUAUGAAAAUCAAAGAUGUAUUGCAGCUACUAAAAUUUUGCUCUGCUUCUUGUGAUUUGCUUGAGACUGCUGCUGUUGGGACUAGUCGUAUAUAGUUAUCUUCUAUUUACUAGUGUCUCGAUAUAUG
rnacentral:lncRNA from 1 species